UACGUAGGGUCCGAGCGUUGUCCGGAAUUAUUGGGCGUAAAGAGCUCGUAGGCGGUCUGUCGCGUCGGCUGUGAAAACUCGGGGCUUAACUCCGGGCCUGCAGUGGGUACGGGCAGACUAGAGUGUGGUAGGGGAGACUGGAAUUCCUGGUGUAGCGGUGAAAUGCGCAGAUAUCAGGAGGAACACCGAUGGCGAAGGCAGGUCUCUGGGCCAUAACUGACGCUGAGAAGCGAAAGCAUGGGGAGCGAACAGG
rnacentral:rRNA from 1 species